GACGAACGCUGGCGGCGCGCUUAAUACAUGCAAGUCGAACGAGAAGCCAGAGCUUGCUCUGGUGGAAAGUGGCGAACGGGUGAGUAACACGUGAGAAACCUGCCCAAAGAUUGGGAUAAGCCUUGGAAACGAGGUCUAAUACCAAAUACCUUCUUUUUAACACAUGUUAAAAAGAAGAAAUGCUCCGGCGCUUUGGGAUGGUCUCGCGAUCUAUCAGCUUGUUGGUGAGGUAACGGCUCACCAAGGCAUCGACGGAUAGCUGGUCUGAGAGGAUGUCCAGCCACAUUGGAACUGAGACACGGUCCAAACUCCUACGGGAGGCAGCAGUAGGGAAUCUUGCACAAUGAGGGAAACCUUGAUGCAGCGACGCCGCGUGCGGGACGAAGGCCCUAGGGUUGUAAACCGCUUUCAGUAGGGACGAAAGUGACGGUACCUACAGAAGAAGCCCCGGCCAACUAUGUGCCAGCAGCCGCGGUAAU
rnacentral:rRNA from 1 species